AAACAGAAAAGGACUGAACUUACCAGAGGGCCUUCUGUCGAAUACCACUGAGAGAAGUUUGACUGUCUUCAUUAUAACUUAGCAUCAGAUCUGUACAGGAGCUUGGAGCAUAUCAGUCGUCCUUGUCUGGACUAACUUCUAGCUGAAGAGGCAUGUCAAUCUAUUUCUGUCCAAACUGAUGACAGCUACCCAUUUCUAACCCCAUACAUUAGCCAACAAGCUGCCGUAUAUUAGAAUAAUCACUGAACCAGUUAGGUCAGAAAAUACCUCUGAGAUCAUCAUGUUCAACCUUUGACCAGACACCCACUUGUCACCUAGACCAUGGCACCGAGUGCUGCAUCCAGUCUUUCCUUAAACUGCUCCAGGACUCCACCUCCUCCCUGGGGAUACU